rnacentral:rRNA from 1 species
AACACAGGUGCUGCAUGGCUGUCGUCAGCUCGUGUCGUGAGAUGUUGGGUUAAGUCCCGCAACGAGCGCAACCCUUGUCUUUAGUUGCUACGCAAGAGCACUCUAAAGAGACUGCCGGUGACAAACCGGAGGAAGGUGGGGAUGACGUCAAGUCCUCAUGGCCCUUAUGGGUAGGGCUUCACACGUCAUACAAUGGUGCAUACAGAGGGUUGCCAACCCGCGAGGGGGAGCUAAUCUCAGAAAAUGCAUCGUAGUCCGGAUCGUAGUCUGCAACUCGACUACGUGAAGCUGGAAUCGCUAGUAAUCGCGGAUCAGAAUGUCGCGGUGAAUACGUUCCCGGGUCUUGUACACACCGCCCGUCAUACCAUGGGAGUGGGUUUUGCCAGAAGCCGUUACCUAACCGCAAGG